AUUGAACGCUGGCGGCAGGCCUAACACAUGCAAGUCGAGCGGAUGAAGGGAGCUUGCUCCUGGACUCAGCGGCGGACGGGUGAGUAAUGCCUAGGAAUCUGCCUGGUAGUGGGGGAUAACGUCCGGAAACUGGCGCUAAUACCGCAUACGUCCUGAGGGAGAAAGUGGGGGAUCUUCGGACCCCACGCUAUCAGAUGAGCCUAGGUCGGAUUAGCUAGUUGGUGGGGUAAAGGCCUACCAAGGCGACGAUCCGUAACUGGUCUGAGAGGAUGAUCAGUCACACUGGAACUGAGACACGGUCCAGACUCCUACGGGAGGCAGCAGUGGGGAAUAUUGGACAAUGGGCGAAAGCCUGUUCCAGCCAUGCCGCGUGUGUGAAGAAGGUCUUCGGAUUGUAAAGCACUUUAAGUUGGGGGGAAGGGCAGUAAGUUAAUACCUUGCUGUUUUGACGUUACCAACAGAAUAAGCACCGGCUAACUUCGUG
rnacentral:rRNA from 1 species